GCUCAGAUUGAACGCUGGCGGCAGGCCUAACACAUGCAAGUCGAACGGUAACAGAAAGCAGCUUGCUGCUUUGCUGACGAGUGGCGGACGGGUGAGUAAUGUCUGGGAAACUGCCCGAUGGAGGGGGAUAACUACUGGAAACGGUAGCUAAUACCGCAUAACGUCGCAAGACCAAAGAGGGGGACCUUCGGGCCUCUUGCCAUCGGAUGUGCCCAGAUGGGAUUAGCUAGUAGGUGGGGUAACGGCUCACCUAGGCGACGAUCCCUAGCUGGUCUGAGAGGAUGACCAGCCACACUGGAACUGAGACACGGUCCAGACUCCUACGGGAGGCAGCAGUAGGGAAUAUUGCACAAUGGGCGCAAGCCUGAUGCAGCCAUGCCGCGUGUAUGAAGAAGGCCUUCGGGUUGUAAAGUACUUUCAGCGGGGAGGAAGGGAGUAAAGUUAAUACCUUUGCUCAUUGACGUUACCCGCAGAAGAAGCACCGGCUAACUCCGUGCCAGCAGCCGCGGUAAUACGGAGGGUGCAAGCGUUGAUCGGAAUUACUGGGCGUAAAGCGCACGCAGGCGGUUUGUUAAGUCAGAUGUGAAAUCCCCGGUCUCACCCUGGGAACUGCAUCUGAUACUGGCAAGCUUGAGUCUCGUAGAGGGGGGUAGAAUUCCAGGUGUAGCGGUGAAAUGCGUAGAGAUCUGGAGGAAUACCGGUGGCGAAGGCGGCCCCCUGGACGAAGACUGACGCUCAGGUGCGAAAGCGUGGGGAGCAAACAGGAUUAGAUACCCUGGUAGUCCACGCCGUAAACGAUGUCGACUUGGAGGUUGUGCCCUUGAGGCGUGGCUUCCGGAGCUAACGCGUUAAGUCGACCGCCUGGGGAGUACGGCCGCAAGGUUAAAACUCAAAUGAAUUGACGGGGGCCCGCACAAGCGGUGGAGCAUGUGGUUUAAUUCGAUGCAACGCGAAGAACCUUACCUGGUCUUGACAUCCACGGAAGUUUUCAGAGAUGAGAAUGUGCCUUCGGGAACCGUGAGACAGGUGCUGCAUGGCUGUCGUCAGCUCGUGUUGUGAAAUGUUGGGUUAAGUCCCGCAACGAGCGCAACCCUUAUCCUUUGUUGCCAGCGGUCCGGCCGGGAACUCAAAGGAGACUGCCAGUGAUAAACUGGAGGAAGGUGGGGAUGACGUCAAGUCAUCAUGGCCCUUACGACCAGGGCUACACACGUGCUACAAUGGCGCAUACAAAGAGAAGCGACCUCGCGAGAGCAAGCGGACCUCAUAAAGUGCGUCGUAGUCCGGAUUGGAGUCUGCAACUCGACUCCAUGAAGUCGGAAUCGCUAGUAAUCGUGGAUCAGAAUGCCACGGUGAAUACGUUCCCGGGCCUUGUACACACCGCCCGUCACACCAUGGGAGUGGGUUGCAAAAGAAGUAGGUAGCUUAACCUUCGGGAGGGCGCUUACCACUUUGUGAUUCA
rnacentral:rRNA from 1 species